rnacentral:lncRNA from 1 species
UGCUGCCUUCUCCAUUUCACAUAAAUGCAGACUGUCAAGGCUGCCAGUUGCCUCAUUAUGAGACAAAUACAUCCAGAUUCCCAUCUUGGAACCUGAGAACAUCAUUACAACGCCUUUCCCUUCUCAGUCAUACUUCUAGUCAUAAGCUAUAUUUAAAAAAUUCAAUAAACACACAAAUCAAUAGUAAACCACCUGACUUAAUUUUGAAAUCAUCGAAUUCUUCUAGUACCUUAAUUUUUUUAACCUAGAACAACAUGAUGCGUGUAUGAUUUUUAGAUUCAGUGGAAAUUAGACUUUUGUAUAUCUAGGUGUAACAGUGUGGAUAGAGAAGGAUAUGGUGACCAGCCAGGUUAGAAAUUAAAGACUAAGAGCUAUAGAGAUCACUUUAGACACAUGCUCACAUACUUUCUAUGUGUCAUCUAAAUUAUAGAGAAUUUUAUUCAUGUAAUUAUUUGCUCUCUCUCUCUCUCUCUCUCUCUCUCUCUGUGCGCGCGCGCGUGUGUGUGUGUGUGUGUGUGUGUGUGCGCGCGCGUGUGUGUGUGUGUGUGUCAAUGGUCAUGCGUACCACAGUGCACACAUAGAGGUCAGCUGCCAAUUCGCACAAGUUGCUUGGCUUUCUCCUUCCACCAAGUGUGUCCUAAGACUUGAGCUCAGACCAUCAAGCUUGGCAGCAGUUGCCUGAACUUGCUGAGAUAUUCUCACUGCUUGAUAUAUACAUUUUUUGGUUGGCUAUGAACUCUGGGUAGAUUUGUAAGAGCUCAGUACUAAGUGUCAAGAUAGAGGAAAUGUUUCUACCUUUCCUGGAUUUUGUGAAUGAAAGAAAGCAUGAAGAAAUUCAUGGUCAGAAGGGAGUCUCAGGAAGACUGAAUCUGUGGUAGGGACCUUAGAGCUUGAAUGGCGUACAUCAGUGGCUCCGGAGGAAGUCCCUUUCAGGACCUCGCUGGACCCGGCUCUCUAGUUCCCUUUGCCUCCUCUACUACAGGGUGGGUGCUCUACAGAGAUCUAACACUGCUUGAGCACUUGCGCUAAGGCUCUUAAGUGGUUUCUGUUUCAUAUUAUUGAUGGUGAUGGUAUGCAAACUCAUAGAUAUCCUCAUUUGCAUCAUCACUAGAACCCAGGUGCUCUCCAUAAGUUGUGCUGCUGGGACUAUGGUUCUAGUGGAAGAGUCCGGGGAGUCAAGGGACUCACAAAUUGAUGUGGUUGCUCGAUCGGAAUGUGUUCUACAAAAGCUGGCCACUUUGCAGAUUCAUUGCUAAGAAAAUUUGAUCUCCACCUCAUUCCAUUCACUUCUAUUCUCCUCCUAGAAGGGGGAGAAGCUUUGUAUUGAGCAGAGGACAGGGUUUGGAUGUCCGCUUCUGAACCAAUCCUGAGAUAUUCUGAAGACAGAUUCUUUCCAGGUUGGCCAUAGUCCAGAUCAUCUUUGAGUAUCACUCCUGACAAUAAUAUUAUUCACAUCUUGUCAUUAGUACACCUUCAAUGUGAUUAUCUGUGCCCACCUUGGCUGUUGAUACCACAAUGCAAGCUGUCAUCAUCUUUCCCCUAGGCUACUAUAAAUCUCAUAGUUUAUCCCAACAACCGUUUGAGGCCAAAUGUUCUCUGGGCUGGCACCAGAACAGAUUUUUCAAAAUGUAAACUAGAUAAAACCUCCCAGCUCUGAAAUUAAACCAGGGGGCUUCUUAUGACAUUUGGGACUCCAGCAUGACUAGAGAGGCUAUGCCUGCAUUUGUAUCAUCCACUAUUGGUGUCUGGCCCGCAUGGGCCAUCUUGGCUUUGCUGGCUUUGAGUUGCCUCAGGCUUUCACGUAGCAGAACAAGCUUAGGGAGAAUCCUGUUUCCUUACUUAACUGCCCUGUGUCCUUCAGGUCGCAAGGAAGUCUUCCUUCUAUUCCCUAAAUUCCUGACUGACUACAAUUGCCUGUCAGUCUUUCUAAGCACUUCCCCAAACACUUGCUGUGUACUUUUUGGGGGCAAAGAAUGCUUUAAUUUUGUUCUCAUGGUAUCUCCAGGGCCUGUAAUGGUUGGGUAAAGAAGGACUCCAGUCAAAGUUUGUUGAAUAAAUAAAUUAAACAGAUGAGACAGAUCCAGGAACUAAAGGCAAAGCUGGUGCCUCCUUCAUCCUCCUACAACUCAAGAAAGGGCUGUGGGAAUGAAUCUCUGAGCCAUUGCAGAAGGGUUCAGAUGAAGUGGUCUUACAGUGUGUUGUACAGGGUCAUGCUUCAGUCUCAGAAGUGAAAGCAACUGAUUCUUCAUCUCUUGAUACCCCUACAAAAUCAUCCCUUCUGAAGACUCCCCAUUCAUCCAUCUCUCUCUCUCUCUCUCUCUCUCUCUCUCUCUCUCUCCCUCGUGUGCGUGCACGCACACACAUACACACACAUACAAACACACACACACAUGUGAGUCUACAAGGCCUGAAUUCCACCUGCUGCUGGACCAUCCCUUGUGGGAUAUAAUGUCACGCCUGCUCUACAAGUUUGCAAGGAUCAGAUAACAAGACCCUUAUGCUAACCAUGUGUAUAGUGCCUGUGCCAUCACUGUAUUUUCUCUAAAUGAGAGGCUUUCUGGGAAUAGUCUGGAGAGGAACGUCACAGCUGUAACAUAAUUUCCCCCCCUAGGGUGCUAAAAGCAUUGACUUAGAGAUUUAUUGCAAGUUUAAUAUGCUGGGAAUGUAAACAGUCUCAUGUAAUUUUAGAAUCCGAGUUCAGAUUUGUAAAGCAAAUAUAUCAAGAUUUAAUUAGUAUUCAUGUUUUCAGCAUGCUGACUGUUUAUGUAUGCAUCAGUGUGGCUCCUAAGAUAUAUUUGCAAAUAAAUCAAAUUUUAAUUUUUAUAUAUAAUAAUUUCCCCAACAGCUCUUAUUUCUGGUUUUGUUUUGUUUUUGUUUUUGUUUUUGUUUAAUUUCACAGGAACAAAAUUCUCUUAGGGGUCACAUAACAUGUAUAUGAAAUACUAUUUUUUUUAUAGUUAAGGGACUUAGAUUAUUCUCCCUUGAGACUUUUUGUGUAUUCCUUUUUUCAUUUUUAGAGGAUUUUGUUCAAUAUCCCAGUGCUGUUAUGCAAUUUGGGCGUUUAUAUAAAUGACUUCAAGGGAUUCCAAAGAAGAACUAUCUCGCUGUCUGUUAUCUUGGGUAGAAACCUCUGUAAAUCAUGUUCAUUAGAAAAAGAAUGGAAAGUAAAUAAGCGUCCAGCAGAUUUCAUUCCAAGAUAACUUUCCAAAGUCAACUGGAAAAAAGCCCUCAGUGUUGGAAAAUUUGUUUUGUUUUGUUUUUCUUCUAAAAGGUAUGUAGUAAAAAUAUGAUCUAAUAAAAAGAGGAAAUUCUGCCUUAAAACCCAGUGUCCUAAGUCUUCGGCUGUAACGGACGAUGAACGUUAUGACAGGACUUUUUGGAAUAAGGCUGUUUAGAAGAGAAAGCGUGUAUGGUUAAGCCUAUCUGAUGUAAUUUUCUACACUUUACAAUUCAGGUUUAAGAUUUCAGUUUGCAAAGCUUUUUUUUUUUUUCUUUUUCUUUCUUUUUUUAAUUCCUUCAAAUGAGGCGUUUCAGAUUUCUGUGUUUGUGUCUUAGAAAGUGGCGGCUGUUCCCAGCACUCAGGUUGCCAGGGAGGUGAGAGCAUUUGCCUAAACCAAACUCCAUGUUAAGUCUUCCUUUUUUAUCUCUGAAGAAACUGUACUCAUUCAGAGAAUGGAGACUCUAACUGCAGAUUUGCUCACUAGGAUUGCUGAAGCAACUCUUGUUCUUCCUUUAGUAUCCUUAUCAAGGUUCUAGAGUUCAUGCCAGGAGG